UGAGGAAUAUUGGACAAUGGGCGCAAGCCUGAUCCAGCCAUGCCGCGUGAGUGAUGAAGGCCUUAGGGUUGUAAUGCUCUUUUUGGCGGGGACGAUAAUGACGGUACCCGCAGAAUAAGCCCCGGCUAACUUCGUGCCAGCAGCCGCGGUAAUACGAAGGGGGCUAGCGUUGUUCGGAAUUACUGGGCGUAAAGCGCACGUAGGCGGAUCAGCAAGUCAGGGGUGAAAUCCCGGGGCUCAACCUCGGAACUGCCUCUGAUACUGCUGGUCUGGAGUCCGGAAGAGGUGGGUGGAAUUCCUAGUGUAGAGGUGAAAUUCGCAGAUAUUAGGAAGAACACCGGUGGCGAAGGCGGCCCACUGGUCCGGUACUGACGCUGAGGUGCGAAAGCGUGGGGAGCAAACAGGAUUAGAU
rnacentral:rRNA from 1 species